rnacentral:rRNA from 1 species
CGACCGCCUGGGGAGUACGGCCGCAAGGUUAAAACUCAAAUGAAUUGACGGGGGCCCGCACAAGCGGUGGAGCAUGUGGUUUAAUUCGAUGCAACGCGAAGAACCUUACCUACUCUUGACAUCCAGAGAACUUUCCAGAGAUGGAUUGGUGCCUUCGGGAACUCUGAGACAGGUGCUGCAUGGCUGUCGUCAGCUCGUGUUGUGAAAUGUUGGGUUAAGUCCCGCAACGAGCGCAACCCUUAUCCUUUGUUGCCAGCGCGUGAUGGCGGGAACUCAAAGGAGACUGCCGGUGAUAAACCGGAGGAAGGUGGGGAUGACGUCAAGUCAUCAUGGCCCUUACGAGUAGGGCUACACACGUGCUACAAUGGCGUAUACAAAGGGAAGCGACCCCGCGAGGGCAAGCGGAACUCAUAAAGUACGUCGUAGUCCGGAUUGGAGUCUGCAACUCGACUCCAUGAAGUCGGAAUCGCUAGUAAUCGUAGAUCAGAAUGCUACGGUGAAUACGUUCCCGGGCCUUGUACACACCGCCCGUCACACCAUGGGAGUGGGUUGCAAAAGAAGUAGGUAGCUUAACCUCCGGGAGGGCGCUUACCACUUUGUGAUUCAUGACUGGGGUGAAGUCGUAACAAGGUAACCGUAGGGGAACCUGCGGUUGGAUCACCUCCUUA